CUUCAACUGCUCCGCCGCCGCCCGUCCUCGUCAGCUGCCGCGCCCUCCUCUACCACUCCUCCGCCGCGCCCCUGGCCUAGCAGGUGACCAUGGUGAAGUUCUCAGUAGGAAGAAGCCGAGGGAGGAGGAUCCGGUCCCCCAAAUAACAGUGCCCGCCCGCAUCGUGCCCCUCGAUGGAAUCGGACCUGUUGGAGGUGACGGCGGCGCAGCCCACGGACGUCGCUGGAGGAGGCGCGGAAGACGGGCUCCGACGAGGAAGGGGACGCCGACGACGAGCUCCGCAUCCAGGCCCUGGAGCGCGUCAUCGUGCAGCAGCCUCUCGACUAUGAUUCCCAUGUUCAGGUCUCCAUGUCAGGCAGGCGGGCUGCAGAUGUUUCCUCUCCUGUCGGUCCUCUUGAUGUGCUCCGGCCAGAUGCCGUGCUGGGGGUGUGGCUGUUAUUCCUCUGCCUUAUGCGGCAGCGCCGGCGAAAGGACGACGUGGUGCUGGACAGACUCCCUUUCCCCUUCCUCCUCUGUGGAUAUUUCUUUCCUUUCUUCCUUACUGAUUUCAACAGUUUUGUACGGAAGCUGGGCUCCAUGUAAAUAUUCAUUUGGUUUGAUUGCCACUUCCGGUAAUGUGUGUAGAAGAUUCGGUAUUGCAAUUUUGAUUAUUCUUAUUCUUUUCAGAUCCGGUUGUGCAGUUUUGUGAAAAAGCGAAGCAACUUUUUAACCGAAUAAAUGUUUGAUUGUAUGCACUAUCUUCUCUGAAUAAUUUAUUUGUGUUCUUUGAA